GGCAACAUCGGUCCAAUCCUUAAAGUCAUCCUCAGUUCGGACUGGGGUCUGCAACCCGACCCCACGAAGCUGGAUUCGCUAGUAAUCGCGCAUCAGCCAUGGCGCGGUGAAUACGUUCCCGGGCCUUGUACACACCGCCCGUCAAGCCAUGAAAGCCGGGGGGCGCCUGAAGUCCGUGACCGCGAGGGUCGGCCUAGGGUGAAACCGGUGAUUGGGGCUAAGUCGUAACAAGGUAGC
rnacentral:rRNA from 1 species